rnacentral:rRNA from 1 species
UACAGAGGGGGCUAGCGUUGUUCGGAAUUACUGGGCGUAAAGGGCGCGUAGGCGGCCCUCUAAGUCGAACGUGAAAUCCCCGGGCUCAACCCGGGAACUGCGUCCGAUACUGGAGGGCUCGAAUCCGGGAGAGGGAUGUGGAAUUCCAGGUGUAGCGGUGAAAUGCGUAGAUAUCUGGAGGAACACCGGUGGCGAAGGCGGCAUCCUGGACCGGUAAUGACGCUGAGGCGCGAAAGCCAGGGGAGCAAACGGG